rnacentral:rRNA from 1 species
UACGUAGGGGGCAAGCGUUGUCCGGAUUUAUUGGGCGUAAAGAGCGUGUAGGCGGCUGGGUAGGUCCGCUGUGAAAACUCGAGGCUUAACCUCGAGACGUCGGUGGAAGCCCUCCAGCUAGAGUCCGGAAGAGGAGAGUGGAAUUCCUGGUGUAGCGGUGAAAUGCGCAGAUAUCAGGAAGAACACCCGUGGCGAAAGCGGCUCUCUGGGACGGUACUGACGCUGAGACGCGAAAGCGUGGGGAGCGAACAGG